CUACGGAGGGUGCAAGCGUUACUCGGAAUCACUGGGCGUAAAGCGCGCGCAGGCGGCUAUUUAAGUUGGAUGUGAAAGCCUACGGCUCAACCGUAGAACUGCAUCCAAAACUAUUUAGCUAGAGUGUGGGAGAGGAAGAUGGAAUUAGUUGUGUAGGGGUGAAAUCCGUAGAGAUAACUAGGAAUACCAAAAGCGAAGGCAAUCUUCUGGAACACUACUGACGCUGAGGCGCGAAAGCGUGGGGAGCAAACAGGAUUAGAAACCCCAGUAGUCC
rnacentral:rRNA from 1 species